AGGAAGAUGUUGAGUAUCAUUGAAUUUAUUGAGUGAUCUGAACGUUUUUUGAAGAUUAAAGCUUUUAAUUAAGCUUGAUAUAAAUUUGCUGUUGUGAAGCAGCGUUUUUAAAAGGAUCGCCGUCCAUGUUUCUCUUUCUUUUCGGAUUUUUUGCGAUGAUGGGGGGUCGUUAAUAUUUGGUUUUGAGGGCCCGUAGCUCAGGUGGUUAGAGUGCACCCCUGAUAAGGGUGAGGUCGGUAGUUCAAAUCUACCUGGGCCCACCACUUUUUGUUCAGGGGGCCGUAGCUCAGUCGGUAGAGCGCCUGCUUUGCAAGCAGGAUGCCAGCGGUUCGAUUCCGCUCGGCUCCACCAUUGGCGUAAUUAUGGAAUUUUGUUCUGAUUUUUUGGAGCAAGAGUUUUUUGAAAAUUGAAUAGAAGAUAUAUUUUUUUGUAUUUUUUAUGUUGGCAUUGUAUGCGACAUAUAAGAUACCGGCGCUGUUAACCGCACGUUGAGAAUUUAUCUCAGGAAAUUGGUCUAUUGAAGAAGCAUAAGGAUAUUAUGUUUUUUUAAUUAUAAAGAGUUUGCAAAGAACUUUAUGACGAUUGACAAUGAGAGUAA
rnacentral:tRNA from 1 species